GCGUUUUGUGUGUUUUUAAAUUUGAGUUUGAAGGUCUAAUUGAUGAUUAAUUAUUUGGUUCCUUCGUAGGAAUCAUGAAGAGGGACGAGGAAAUAGAAGGCAUAAACUUUUUAUCUUUAUGAACAUGUUAAUGCCAAAAAUGAUUUUUUUUUAUUUUCAAGACGAGUAUCAUCUUUACAUUAGAAGAAGCCCUUGAAGUGUUCGCUCUAAUAUCAAAGAUCAAGAGCCGACCCCAAAGGAAACGUUUGCACAGGAUUGUUGUUGAUGAUAGCAACAAGGGCAGCUCUAAUAAUGAAUUUUAAGAAUGUUCACAAUGAUCGCCGGGCUGUACUCUAUCUGAAUGAUUGUGAUUGUGGGGAGGAACUUUCUCGUGAGAAGGCGACAAUGAAGUAAAAAAAUAUGUGUGCAAAGUCAGCCUCAAGGACAUGGCUAUGGAAUUUGAUAAGAGUAUUCUUCUUAUUCGGUACUGUUACCUAUUAGUUUUUUAUACUA